CGCGUUGGGAGCUCUCCCAUAUGGUCGACCUGCAGGCGGCCGCGAAUUCACUAGUGAUUACUCCUACGGGAGGCAGCAGUAGGGAGUUUUCGGCAAUGGGGGAAACCCUGACCGAGCAACGCCGCGUGAAUGAUGAAGGCCCUAUGGGUCGUAAAAUUCUGUUAUAAGGGACGAAUGAUAGAUAUAGGAAAUGAUAUUUAUUUGACUGUACCUUAUGAGAAAGGAACGGCUAACUACGUGCCAGCAGCCGCGGUAAUACGUAGGUUCCAAGCGUUAUCCGGAAUUAUUGGGCGUAAAGAGUGAGUAGGUGGUUGCUUAAGUCUGAAGUCAAAUACAGUGGCUUAACCAUUGUUCGCUUUGGAAACUGGGCAACUAGAGUGCGGGAGAGGUGAAUGGAACUCCAUGUGUAGCGGUAAAAUGCGUAGAUAUAUGGAAGAACACCAGUGGCGAAGGCGAUUCACUAGACCGAUACUGACACUGAGUCACGAAAGCGUGGGUAGCAAAUAGGAUUAGAUACCCUAGUAGUCCACGCCGUAAACGAUGAGCACUAAGUGUAGGGAGAACCCUGUGCUGAAGUUAACACAUUAAGUGCUCCGCCUGGGUAGUACGUUCGCAGAAUGAAACUUAAGGAUGAG
rnacentral:rRNA from 1 species